CCUACGGGAGGCUGCAGUAGGGAAUCUUCCACAAUGGGCGAAAGCCUGAUGGAGCAACGCCGCGUGGGUGAAGAAGGUCUUCGGAUCGUAAAACCCUGUUGUUAGAGAAGAAAGUGCGGGAGAGUAACUGUUAACGUUUCGCCGGUAUCUAACCAGAAAGCCACGGCUAACUACGUGCCAGCAGCCGCGGCAAUACGUAGGUGGGAAGCGUUAUCCGGAUUUAUUGGGCGUAAAGGGAACGCAGGCGGUCUUUUAAGUCUGAUGUGAAAGCCGUGGGCUUAACCGGAGUAGUGCAUUGGAAACUGGGAGACUUGAGUGCAGGAGAGGAGGGUGGAACUCCAUGUGUAGCGGUGAAAGGCGUAGAUAUAUGGAAGAACACCAGUGGCGAAAGCGGCUCUCUGGUCUGUAACUGACGCUGAGGUUCGAAAGCGUGGGUAGCAAACAGGAUUAGAUACCCGAGUAGUC
rnacentral:rRNA from 1 species